rnacentral:rRNA from 1 species
GUAGGUGGCAAGCGUUGUCCGGAAUUAUUGGGCGUAAAGCGCGCGCAGGCGGUUCUUUAAGUCUGAUGUGAAAGCCCACGGCUCAACCGUGGAGGGUCAUUGGAAACUGGAGAACUUGAGUAUAGAAGAGGAAAGCGGAAUUCCACGUGUAGCGGUGAAAUGCGUAGAGAUGUGGAGGAACACCAGUGGCGAAGGCGGCUUUCUGGUCUGUAACUGACGCUGAGGCGCGAAAGCGUGGGGAGCAAACAGGAUUAGAUACCCUGGUAGUCCACGCCGUAAACGAUGAGUGCUAAGUGUUAGGGGGGUUUCCGCCCCCCUUAGUGCUGCAGCUAACGCAUUAAGCACUCCGCCUGGGAGUACGGCCGCAAGGCUG